GACGAACGCUGGCGGCGUGCUUAACACAUGCAAGUCGAACGGAAAGGCCCUGCUUUUGUGUGGUGCUCGAGUGGCGAACGGGUGAGUAACACGUGAGUAACCUUCCCUUUACUUUGUGAUAACUUCAGGAAACUGGUGCUAAUACCGGAUAGGAGCUCCUGCUGCAUGGUGGGGGUUGGAAAGUUUCGGCGGUUGGGGAUGGACUCGCGGCUUAUCAGCUUGUUGGUGGGGUAGUGGCUUACCAAGGCUUCGACGGGUAGCCGGCCUGAGAGGGUGACCGGCCACAUGGGGACUGAGGUAGGGCCCAGACUGCUACGGGAGGCAGCAGUGGGGAAUAUUGCACAAUGGGCGGAAGCCUGAUGAAGCAACGCCGCGUGCGGGAUGACGGCCUUCGGGUUGUAAACCGCUUUAGCCUGUGACGAAGCGUGAGUGACGGUAAUGGGUAAAGAAGCACCGGCUAACUACGUG
rnacentral:rRNA from 1 species